UCCCCUAAAGGCCAGGCGGUUAGGAUAGCUGGCUCUCACCCAGCAAACCCGGGUUCGAGUCCCGGUGUGGGAA
rnacentral:tRNA from 1 species